CCAGCAGUUCGUUCUGUCGCUCCGGGAAAAAGGAUCCUCUGGACCUUUUCCCGGGGAGGAAAGUCGGGACAACACAGAGCACCAUGCUUCCUAACUGGAAGGUCCCGCCCCGGGCGGGAACAGCAAGUGCCGCAGAAAAAUACCGCCUGUAAGGGCGACCCGCAGGGGCGCCCUUCCAGGUAAGGGUGAAAACGUGGUGUAAGAGACCACGUCCCUGCAGGGUGACCGGCAGGGAGGGUAAACCUCAUGGGUUGAAAGACCAUGUACAUCCUGCUGACUCAAGUCACCCGGCUGCUCGCCGGGGCCGCAAGGCGACAGGAGGGGUAGGUCGCAUAAACCGGCUGGUGACAACCGGUUAAGAUAAAUGACAGAUUAAAACAGAAUCCUGCUUACUGAACUGCUGUUUUU
rnacentral:RNase_P_RNA from 1 species